rnacentral:rRNA from 1 species
AUUGAACGCUGGCGGCAUGCCUUACACAUGCAAGUCGAACGGUAACAGGUCUUCGGAUGCUGACGAGUGGCGAACGGGUGAGUAAUGCAUCGGAACGUGCCCAGUUGUGGGGGAUAACUGCUCGAAAGAGCAGCUAAUACCGCAUACGACCUGAGGGUGAAAGCGGGGGAUCGCAAGUCCUCGCGCAAUUGGAGCGGCCGAUGUCAGAUUAGGUAGUUGGUGGGGUAAAGGCCUACCAAGCCGACGAUCUGUAGUUGGUCUGAGAGGACGACCAGCCACACUGGGACUGAGACACGGCCCAGACUCCUACGGGAGGCAGCAGUGGGGAAUUUUGGACAAUGGGCGCAAGCCUGAUCCAGCAAUGCCGCGUGCAGGAAGAAGGCCUUCGGGUUGUAAACUGCUUUUGUCAGGGAAGAAAUCCUCUGGGUUAAUACCCCGGGGGGAUGACGGUACCUGAAGAAUAAGCACCGGCUAACUACGUGCCAGCCGCCGCGGUAA